rnacentral:rRNA from 1 species
AACGAACGCUGGCGGCAGGCCUAACACAUGCAAGUCGAGCGAGAUCUUCGGAUCUAGCGGCGGACGGGUGAGUAACGCGUGGGAACGUGCCCCUUGGUACGGAAUAGCCCCGGGGAACUGGGAGUAAUACCGUAUGAGCUCUACGGAGGAAAGAUUUAUCGCCAAGGGAUCGGCCCGCGUUGGAUUAGGUAGUUGGUGGGGUAAUGGCCUACCAAGCCGACGAUCCAUAGCUGGUUUGAGAGGAUGAUCAGCCACACUGGGACUGAGACACGGCCCAGACUCCUACGGGAGGCAGCAGUGGGGAAGCUUAGACAAUGGGCGCAAGCCUGAUCUAGCCAUGCCGCGUGAGCGAUGAAGGCCUUAGGGUUGUAAAGCUCUUUCAGCGAGGAAGAUAAUGACUGUACUCGCAGAAGAAGCCCCGGCUAACUCCGUGCCAGCAGCCGCCGUAAGAC